GACGAACGCUGGCGGCGUGCUUAACACAUGCAAGUCGAACGGAAAGGCCCUGCGUUUGUGGGUUGCUCGUGUGGCGAACGGGUGAGUAACACGUGAGUAACCUGCCCUUGACUUUGGGAUAACUUCAGGAAAAUGCGUCUAAUACCGGAUAGGAGCUCCUGCUGCAUGGUGGGGGUUGGAAAAUUUCGGCGGUUGGGGCUGGUCGCGCGGGUUAUCAGCUUCUUUGUGGGGUAGUGACUUUCAAGGCGUUUGACGGGUAGGCGGCCUGAGAGGGUGACCGGGCACCAUGGGACUGAGAGAGGGCCCAGUAUCCUACGGGAGGCAGCAGUCGGGAAUAUUGCACAAUAGGCCGACGCCUGAUGCAGCGACGCCGGGUGCGGGAUGACGGCCUUUGGGUUGUGAACCGCUUUGGCCUGUGACGAAGCGUGAGUGACGGUAAUUGGUAAAGAAGCACCGGCUAACUACGUG
rnacentral:rRNA from 1 species